rnacentral:rRNA from 1 species
AAUCUGACCUCAAAUCGGGUGGGACUACCCGCUGAACUUAAGCAUAUCAAUAAGCGGAGGAAAAGAAACUAACAAGGAUUCCCCUAGUAACUGCGAGUGAAGCGGGA